ACAAAGACGCUUAGCAGAUGCAGAAUAUAAACUUAUAGAAGAGGAGAGGCUGAGGAAAAAAUUACAUAAUACCAUUUUGGAGUUAAAAGGGAACAUUCGUGUAUUCUGUCGAGUGAGGCCUUUAUUAGCUGAUGAAAGUUGUAGCACA